UCCCAUAAGAUGUCUCUCUCUCUCUACAAUCACUUUAUACUCCACCGGAGGCCUCUCUCUACUGGCACUCUUCUAGUCUUCCCUCAUAGUAUGCAGGACGCCUCCCUUUCUUUCUCUAAUCACUUUUCCCUCAAGCUCAACAAAUCGUUCGGGUUAAACUUUGGCGGAUGAAACUUGGGAGAAAAUACAAUUAAAUUUGCUCUGAAGCUUCUUUCAUAUUUCAUUUUGGUACAGGGACCUUGAUUUGGGAUGCACACUACGCCAUGGAAGUUUCAUAGACUUGAAGUAUCAUUCUCAUGAAAAUGUUGGCGUGAAAUCCUAUUUGUAGUUUUGUAUGACAAAACUUGUAUUUUUGUUCCAAAUAUGUAAUGUGUACAUAAGUACACUUUUUGUAAGGUAAUUGAUGUGUAUGACAUAAGGCCAAGGGCCACAAACUUUAAAGUUCAAGGGUAUGUAUGUAAACUUUAAGUUUUGCCUUUGAAAUGCAUUUUUAUCAUCUAUGGAGGUUUGGCAUGUCAAAUUUUGUAAAUGAUAUGUAAUGAGGCCAUGGGCCAUUGUAUCACACUUUAAUAUAUA